rnacentral:misc_RNA from 1 species
AAGACUAUAGACCUGCGGAGUACCUGCGGAGGGAUCAUUCAUGGAUUCUUGUGUAGAUGGCCUUGUCUUGUCAGACGGGCCUAAACACUUUUUUACACCUAACCAAUCUAUGUGGGCUCGGUGCUUAUGGGGUGCGCGGCCACGGAAUAUGCUUCCGUGGCUUCGAUCCCGGUGCAGAGCCGGUCAAACUGGCUGAAAUCAGCAGCAGCCCUCAGUUUGGGGGCAGCAGUGAGAGUAAUA